GACGAACGCUGGCGGCGUGCUUAACACAUGCAAGUCAAGGGGGCCCAGCAAUGGGCAACCGGCGAACGGGUGCGUAACACGUGAGCAACCUACCGAACUGUGGGGGGAUAGCCGGCCUAACGGCCGAGUAAUACCGCAUACGCUCUCAGUGAGGCAUUUCAUUGAGAGGAAACCUACGGGACAGAUCGAGGGGCUCGCGGCCUAUCAGCUAGUUGGCGAGGUAACGGCUCACCAAGGCAACGACGGGUAGCUGGUCUGAGAGGAUGGCCAGCCACAUUGGGACUGAGAUACGGCCCAGACUCCUACGGGAGGCAGCAGUGGGGAAUCUUGCGCAAUGGCCUAACGGCUGACGCAGCGACGCCGCGUGUGGGAUGAAGCUCUUCGGAGUGUAAACCACUGUUGCCCGGGACGAACAGCUCGAUUUCUCGAGCCUGACGGUACC
rnacentral:rRNA from 1 species